AACGCGAAGAACCUUACCUGGGCUCGAAAUGUAGUGGAAUCCGGUAGAAAUAUCGGCGUCUCGCAAGAGACCGCUAUAUAGGUGCUGCAUGGCUGUCGUCAGCUCGUGUCGUGAGAUGUUGGGUUAAGUCCCGCAACGAGCGCAACCCUUAUCUACAGUUGCUACCAUUUAGUUGAGCACUCUGUCGAAACCGCCUCGGAUAACGGGGAGGAAGGUGGGGAUGACGUCAAGUCCUCAUGGCCUUUAUGUCCAGGGCUACACACGUGCUACAAUGGCCGGUACAAACCGCUGCAAACCCGCGAGGGGGAGCUAAUCGGAAAAAGCCGGCCUCAGUUCGGAUUGGAGUCUGCAACUCGACUCCAUGAAGCUGGAAUCGCUAGUAAUCGUGGAUCAGCAUGCCACGGUGAAUACGUUCCCGGGCCUUGUA
rnacentral:rRNA from 1 species